GAUAAACGCUGGCGGCGUGCGUAAAACAUGCAAGUUGAACGGCAGCAGGAAUGUUGCAGUAGCGGACGGCUGAGUAACGCGUAAGUGACCUGACCUUUAUUGGGGGAUAACUGUGAGAAAUUACAGCUAAUACCGCAUGUGAUCUCUUGGGGUAGUGCUUAGGAGAGGAAAGCCGAGAGGCGAUAGAGGAGGGGCUUGCGUUCGAUUAGCUAGUUGGUGGGGUAAUGGCCUACCAAGGCGACGAUCGAUAGCUGGUCUGAGAGGAUGAUCAGCCAGACUGGGACUGAGAACGGCCCAGACUCCUACGGGAGGCAGCAGUUAGGGAUUUUGGGCAAUGGGCGAAGGCCUGACCCAGCAACGCCGCGUGAGUGAAGAAGGCCUCGGUUGUAAGACCUUCGUGUCGGAAGAACUAGUUCCGUCGGUUAGUAACCGCGGAACGUUUGUACGGUACCGCACGGAAGAAGGACGACCGGCCGUAACCUACCGUCGCCGACGCAGCCGCCGGUAAACGUACGUACUACGUCCG
rnacentral:rRNA from 1 species